rnacentral:rRNA from 1 species
UACGUAGGGUGCAAGCGUUGUCCGGAAUUAUUGGGCGUAAAGAGCUCGUAGGCGGUCUGUCGCGUCGGCUGUGAAAUCCCGAGGCUCAACCUCGGGUCUGCAGUCGAUACGGGCAAACUGGAGUGUUGCAGGGGAGACUGGAAUUCCUGGUGUAGCGGUGAAAUGCGCAGAUAUCAGGAGGAACACCGGCGGCGAAGGCGGGUCUCUGGGCAACUACUGACGCUGAGGAGCGAAAGCGUGGGGAGCGAACAGG